CGCAAAGUGCAUCAGUAUUGAAAACAAAACUGGAAAUACAAACCGAUAUACAGACCAGCGUACUGUAGGUCGGGUUGAUAACACUACCCUGUUGAUAUUUUGUAUCAGAUUACUUCCACCAUAGAUACAAAAUCGCCAGACAACAGGUAAAGUAAAUUGAAACGAUUUUUUGUUCAACGUUCCGACUUGUAGUGGGACUAUUCGGGAAUGCUGAGCCUACAUGUUAAAGAUAGACGAGUGUGAAUCCAUAGUCCAUACCUGACAGAUGCAUGAGGUAAAAAGUUAAUUCCAAUCCGAACAACUGCAAACACCAAUCAGGAAUCCAUAGUCCAUACCUGACAGAUGCAUGAGGUAAAAAGUUAAUUCCAAUCCGAACAACUGCAAACACCAAUCAGGUACCUACUCAACAACAUUUGAACAUAAUUAGAUUAAGUCAUUAGCCUACACAAGACUGACAUUAUUCUGUGAAAUUUCUCGAAUUUACACCAUGCUCAUGCCAUUGUUGAAUACACCAGUGGCCC